rnacentral:miRNA from 1 species
GUGGAAGAAGAUGGCGGAAGGCGGAGCGGCGGAUCUGGACAUCCAGCG